rnacentral:tRNA from 1 species
CUCUGGGUAACCCAAAUAGUUAAUGUGUUUGGCUGCUAACCAAAAGGUUGGUGGUUAGAGUCUACCCAGAGG